rnacentral:lncRNA from 1 species
AUAACCUGUUGUGGCACAGUGGUUGUGUGCAUGGUUCAGUAUGGGUAGUAUUCAUGUUCGAUUCCCUGAAACGACAGGUUAAAUUUAUUUGUUUAACAUCUGUAAUUAACAUCUGUAAUCACGUCAGCAUCUGUAACCAUUUAUUUAACAGAGACACGGUCAACGUAUGAAAUUUGAAUAUGUUUUGUGUUGAUGUAUGUUUUAGCACAGGGUCUGUGUUUAUGUAUUGAUCGGGACCGCGGC